AUUGAACGCUGGCGGCAGGCCUAACACAUGCAAGUCGAGCGAGCGACGGACGGGUGAGUAAUGUCUGGGAAACUGCCUGAUGGAGGUGGAUAACUACUGGAAACGGUAGUUACUACUGCAUACCAUUGGAUGUGGCUAGUUGGGAUUAGCUAGUGGGUGGGGUAACGGCCCAACUGGGCGACGAUCCCUAGCUGGUCUGAGAGGAUGACCAGCCACACUGGAACUGAGACACGGUCCAGACUCCUACGGGAGGCAGCAGUGGGGAAUAUUGCACAAUGGGCGCAAGCCUGAUGCAGCCAUGCCGCGUGUAUGAAGAAGGCCUUCGGGUUGUAAAGUACUUUCAGCGGGGAGGCGUUACCCGCAGAAGAAGCACCGGCUAACUCCGUGCCAGCAGCCGCGGUAAUUC
rnacentral:rRNA from 1 species